CGUAUCUCGAUUAAACGAAGAAUCGAUGAAUACAAGGAGCUUGUGUAAAUGUGAGUUUAAACGUGUCAUAACAUUCGCGUGGCAUGCACGUAGUCUUGAAAACUACUGAAACGUAUAUAGAAAAGAAAAAGAAUCGGCUGUACCUUUUUGGGAGAAACACAUCGGGCGGUUACAUGCGACCGUAGCACAGUCGGAUAGUCGGUGUCCCGUCGAGGAUGGCCGAAGAGAGCCGGAUCGAACCGAACGGGCACGAGGCAACAGGCGGCUCGUUUUAAACCCGUGGCCCGUGGCCUACGGGGAGUUUUCAAAGCAGUGGGCUGGCAGUGAGCCGUCGGCUUUCACAGCGCGUGUUUCGCUGGUGCGUUGUAUAUCCGUUGAUGAACGUAGGUUAUGUUACGAUCGUUCUUCUAGAUUUCGAUAUUCAACGUUUUUGCUCUUCUAGGAUACAGCACGCGAUACGAUUUACGAUUUGUUACGAUUUCUGAGUGCAGUCUCGUGAUAGGUGUUGUCGGUGUAGCAUCGAGACGUUUGACGUAACGUUGUUGAAUCUUGUAAUGCUUUACGAGAAACAUUCGCGAGGUAAAGAGUAUAUACGCGUUGGUUGAAAUUAUCGGUAAUCGUGCGGGGUUGAAAGAUAUAUUAGCUGUACAAUCGACGUUGUUCGACUUUGUCGAAAAUAGAGCUGGUGUAAAAAGGAAUGGUUUUCACAGAAGGUGACUGAAUGGUUGAACGAUUUAUCGGUUAAGAAGAAAAAGAGCGCGCGGCGAAAGCCAUUUGAAACCACCCAGUAAACACGCAGUCUUCUCGAAUAGACGAAAGUUUAUGUUUGACGACAAAUAUCAAACGAAUCGGUUAAGAUCGCCGGCGCGUGCUUAGUGACGGGAGUCGUUCUAUUUAUCUUUGGACGUUAACGGUGCUGAAGUGAGAGAUAUCGGUUUUCUUUUGGGGAAAAGUCUGCUGUGGACCAUUGGGACGUAAUUUUCAUCCUGGAAACUCGGUCAUGGCGGUUCUCGGAUUCGAAAAUCACGGAAUCUGAAACGUUUUCCCGGCUUCCUGGUAAAUUGAUUUUUCGUCGAGAUCUGAAGAUGACGACACCGGUCGAGCGGGGACUGCUUGUCCUGUCGCUCCUCACUGCGAUCUGUCAGGGCAACGAACUUAAGGACUACUGUUCCAAGCACAAAUUCGACAAUUUACCACCCGGUGGCCUCAGGUUUACGAAGGAGGUCGUGACAACAGAGUACGCGAACAUCGGAGCGUUCAAAGCGCUUCACUGUUGUCUACGAGGAUACAGGAGUAUCGAAUGGUACAAGGACAACAGGGCUUAUCCUUGGCCAGGCGGAGAGAGCCAUUUCAUCCUGUAUCCGGAGAGCGCGAACCAGACGAUUUACGCGCAGAAGGUGAGAAGCUCCGACGCGGGACGGUAUUCUUGUCAGGCAAGAAACGACACGACCAUCCUCGAAGGAGAUAUCACGCUCGCCGUCCUCGGGGAGAAGUCUGGCGGAUAUACCGGGAAACCAUUGCCAACGUACAGGCCGGCCUCGCAAUUGGUUCCCCUGGGAGGAGCGGCGAGAUUAUUUUGCGAGGCAUACCUGGGGAAAGUCGAGCUUCCGGACGCGAAAAAUUCGGUAACCUGGUCGAAGAGCGACAGCAACGUCACGUUACCGAGUCACGGCAGGAUCGCCCAGCACAGCGUGUCCAGGGAAAACAAUCAGAUCAUCGGCUCUUACCUGGAAAUCGAGGACAUAACUCUGGAAGAUUACGGGGAGUACAAGUGCGAAGUUAGCAACGGCGUGGACGAGGAGAUCACGUUACCCGCUCACGUUUAUCGGCAAGAGCCACAGUUCGCGUUGGAAGUACAAAACGGAUCCUGGAGAAGGUCGUUUCUGGUAGGCGUGCUGGUGCUGGUUUUGCUGAUCUCGGUCGGCGCGUUUUACGCGCGCUGUUGGCUGCCUUUGGUACUGCUCUGCCGGGACAAAUUCGCCCCGCUCGAGGAGAACGAUGGAAAGGAAUGCGACGCUCUGGUGUGCUACCACGAGAAAGACUCAAGCCUGGUCAUCGGUAUAGUGAUACCCACGCUGGAAUCGAGGCACCGGUACAAGUGCACGGCGCUGGAGCUCUCCCAGUUGAAUCAGAAUUGGGCUGUGGAGAUCGGGCCGCAUGCUGUUUCCAGUCGAAGAGUCAUCGUGGUGCUGAGCCCAGAGUCGCUGGGAAACGUUUGGAACGAAACGAACGUGGGAGUUGUGCUAAAUCAACUGUCGUCGCUCACCACUCGAACGAUAGUCAUCAUCACCAAGAAUCUAUUGAACACGACCGCGAUCGCGAAACGAUCGAGUCGAGCUUACAACAACAUACGUGAAUACUCGCUCGAUCGUGUGAAGGUCUUGCAUUGGGACGACACCGGCAACUUAGGUUCCGGCAACCACACAUUUUGGUACAAGCUGCGGCUCGCAAUGCCACCGAUUCGACCGAUCAGCUCCGAGAGCGGCUGCCAAUCGGUCGCCAUGAUCGUUCAGGCGAACGGAAAAUGCGGACAGCAGAAGGCUCGAUCGCGCGAAAGUCUCGAAGUUCUCGUUUAAAACGGAGAAAAGCGAGACGAUCGAACGACGGAAACGAUGCAAUGGAUCCUUACGUAGUAUAUACUUGCAUAUACCUACGUAGUCUGUCUCUUCACCCGCGUUUCUCUUCCUUUCGCUUCUGUACGAAAGCGGUGACAAGGCCAAGUUUCCGCGCGCUUGUCCAAGUAUCCAUGCGUUUCGCGCACAAUCAGACGUUUGAAGACAUUCGUUCGCGUAGCGUAAUAAACGCGCACCACGUUUCCUCGCCGAAUCUCGCAAAUAGCCGCAUCUAUGGAACUGUAACUUUCAAAAAUGUAACGGUUUCGAUGCUCGAGCAACCGAUGCACGACCGUGUGUUGUCGUUCCAACUCGUUCUUCUCGCGUUGCGACGUACGCCUUGAACGCUCCUCGGCGUAUGUCUACGAAAAGAGCUACAGCGCGAUCCGAGUGUCUUUUAAUUUUACUUUGGCUGCAGACCGUACUGUACUGUGUACGACGAGCGAAAUUCAUAAAUUUACUUAAACGUUCGCUGGUCGGAAGCGAAACUUGAUUUUAUCGCGACAAAUUGCUACGGACGCGAGUAGGUUCGACCGUGUCGAAAGAUACGCCGCGCACCACCCUCCAUCCUGUUUUAUCUUCUGCACGUGGAGCAGACGCGACGACUGAUCGCGAUCGGCGAAAUUCGAGGAAAGAGGAGCUCAGGCGAAGCGCGCAGUCUUCCUUUUCGCGCAAGCACGCGGCGCUUCGAGCGAAAAAAGAAAAAAGAGAAAAGAAAGAAAGGAGUAAGAACGAAACGCGUUGGAGAAGUUACGAGAAAAAAUAACAGGACGGAGAAAGAAAGCGAGUCCCUCGCUACUCGCCUAUAUAUACGUAAUCGCUUUUAUCGCGUACACUUCUCGUUUUCUCUGUUUGUAUAUAUCGGACAAAUCGAUGCUCUAUUGUCCUUAUUUAUUAUUUAGCUAAGUCAUCGUAUUAUUUAUACAACGUUUAAAUUUUAGCGAUCUCCCUUCUAUCAGUAUCGAAAUCAUGAAUUAUGUAAAACUCGCGUCUACGUUUUCGGGCACACUUUUCUAAGCGAAUUUUACGCGCGGUUUUUAGCCAACAAAUCUACGCACGAUAAGACUAAUAAUGAACAUAGGUAUUUUAUACUGGUUUGUAUAUAUACAUAUAUAUGUAAAAGGAGGGAAAAGAUAAGUGCGUGUGUAGGUGCAUGCAUGCGCGUGCACGUGUAUGCGUGUGUACAUGUGUAUUAUAUGCGAGAUCCUUUUCUUUUUCGCCGUUUUUUCGGAACUAUCGUUACGUCGAAUGACUACAAGACACUUAGAAAGAUGUAUCUGCGAACGUAACGUCAAGCGAUAAUCCUGUAAUUCUAAUAUCUAAUAUUAUCUACAACCAUACAAUAUACACGCUCUACUAUACGAUAUACAUAUAGCCUAGCCGUUAUACCCGCGUAAUUGUACUUUAAAUGUUACGCACACGCGCAGAACCGCAACGUGAGCUUAAUUUUAAUAUCAUAGUAAUCUCUUUACUGUCAGUAUUACGAUACACUAGUGUACUUGUCUCGCGAGAAUGUGCCUGGGCGAUUGACUCGCAUCGCGGCCAAUUGUUGCGAGCCGAGUAUAAGCAGAGUAUAGACAUUAGGAGGUAUACUUGUUUAUUUAGCGAUAUAGAGAACAACAAAACGACGACUAUCCUCUAAUCGUCUGUCGUCGCGUUUCUUUCUUUUUCUUUUUUAGUAUAUAUACGUGUGUGCGUGUGUGUGCGUGCGUGCGUGCGUGCGUGCGUGUGUCGCAUGAUAGCGACAAACUCGUGACCGUUCUUACAGUUACCUAUGAAACAGAACGGCGAAAAAUGUGUGUACUGUUGCUUCUCGUCUCCGUUUGAUGGCGUAUAUAUCGAACAGAAUCGACGAUACAAGGCUCUAUACGUACCAAAUAUCAGACGACCGUUUCUCUUCGUGCUGACAAAUCGUGUGUCUCGGAUCGUCACUUUUUCUUACUCACAUACGAAACAACGUUACGUUUCGCAACCUUGCUGAAACCACUGCCGUCGUUCAGCCGUUAAACAGCAACGACGACGACUUUUUCCUAAAGG